rnacentral:lncRNA from 12 species
AUGUCCCUGGCCUUAGCUGCCUGUGACAUUGGGACGCCUCCGGAGAGCCAUGGCCACCCCAGAGGAAGUUACUGGUGGCCAAGUGCAGGGGAAGUCCUGCGGGACUCCGUUUUCUGGCCUGUGAAGUUGGGACCAGCCCGAUGGCCUCGAAGAUUGCAAGUGGGCUCAGGACCUUCCUGUGUACUACCUCAGGUGAGAGAGCAAGAGCAGAAAGAAGAGAACAAAGAGUGGUCCCAUUUGGCUGCCCAGACCACUCUCCAGAGGAUGCACCCACACCACUUUGGUGAGAGCCUGGCUCCUAAGGCUCAUAAUGGAUAUGUUUGCUGGACGUCACCUUCUGCGGCCAGGAACUGCCUCGCUCAAGGUUAUAUGCCCACGGAUGGCGCCCAUGCUCUUAACUGACCAAGCAGGAAUACAAAAGCUCGGCCCCCUCACCCAAUUCGAGCCAAACCUGAUGGGCUAUUUCAAUUCCAGAGCACCUCUUAGGGUUGGCUAGGGGUGUCGUCCCUUGCAACCCCAUUGUGAGUUAGCUUUUCCUACUGAAAAAUCCUGUCUGUCUCAGGAACCUCUCAGGAAGGUUGAUAAACCUGAUAAACCUGAUAAACCUUCUGCAUGCAAUUUUCCAUCUCACACCGUUCCCAGGAAACCUCUAAGGCAGUUGACACAGGACUUGGCUGUGAAAAAGUGGACUCUAAAUGGAAAAUUGGAGAUGAGUACAAGGCCGGCUAACAGCAAGGACCCUGUCACUGGCGGGGAGUGGAGCCCAGCUGGCUCUGGAAAGGCUCUUGGAGGUCCAUGGUACAGGGCAAUGGUGGCUGAGUGCUCCUCUGGUUGAAGAGAGCAGGAGGCUCAGGGGAAGCUCACUGGUUUAAGGCAAACUGUGAAGGUCCAAGUACCUCCUUGGCGGCAUAUAAGAAAACUCCAAUGUUCUCCAGCUGGAAAGCACGUCAGCUGGAUCAGCAGUUGUAAUCUUGAUUAUAGCAGAGUUUUAGAGAAGGUGAAAUUUCUAGGCCUCCAAAGUCAGGGUCCUAAUAGGGAAUAAGUGGGACCCCAAUGCUUGAGGAUGCAUACUUGGACAUUGAGAACCGUGCACCCUUAUGUUCCCUAGAAUCCUCCAGGCCUGCAGAGGUGCCUUAUCCCAUGUAGAAGAUUGUUGAUUCCUCUUUCUUAGAAAUCCUACAGAAGCCUCAAAUAAGGCAAGUAUCUUAUAAGACAAUACUUGCCCCGUUAGAAUCCAGCCCCAUCUUCCUUCCUGGCAAGCAGAUAAAUGACAAGGGCCAAAUCUCAGGACAGUGUGACUGAAUCUGAGUCAGGCAGGCUAAGGAAAGGUGGCUAUAUGGCAAAGGAGCUGCAGGAUCUAGCUAAUAUGUCCCAGAAGAACCAAGAGGGUAAUCAUAGGAUUGAGUCAAAGAGUAUAAAGUUGAAUAGAGAGAAUUUAGUGACAAGGGAGCACUCUGCCUUGGCAUAGGACUUCACAUCUUGGUCAGAAGCCCUGGAAGCAAUGCUGACACUCUGCUAGGAUGGUGCUUGAAAACUCAGACCCACACUCAGACAGAUGGUGGAGGAAGGGACCGAACAGCUCCAGGAGUGGUCGUGUUAUAAUGGUCAUGUUCCUGAAAUGGCUGGAAGACUUGCUGGUUACAAAGGAGUGAAUGGUGGAAAGUGGCGCCAGCAUCAUCAAGAAGUUCAGGAAUGGCUAUGUUCUGUGGGCCAGAGCUGAUGAUAGAUGUGGGAUCACAGGAUGAGUUCUUGGGGGCAAAAGGGAUGAUAGAGGUCAAGUGUUGUAUUCAUCAUCAGAAGGAAGGUGUAGGCAAGGAUCCCACUGAGAGGCAAGACCAGUGGAGCUCUCAGAGAGUAUCUUGCCCAGCAGUGAGCUAAGGAGAUGGUCAAUAGACAUAUUGUCCCUCGAAGUGAGACAGAUUGGUAGCCCUCGAAGUGAGCCCAGAUUGGUUAAUUUAUACAAUGAAAAGAAAUCAAAUAGGGUGAUUGAGAGAGUUAGCAAAAACCACCCCAGUAAUAGUCAUGAUAUCUUGCCUAAUUGAGCUAAUUCUCAGACCCAGAAACCAUGGACUGAAGGGGAAACAGAGUUUCUCCCUGGACCCCACAACAUCACAGCAGGUGUUUUCAUCAGUACUUCCCCCAGUUCUUCUCCAAAGAGACCCAGGCACUUUGUGCAGGCAAAUUCACAUUAGGGAAAUAUCUAAGCUUUUUGAGGAUUAUUGAACUGACAUUGAGACUUGGGUACCCAAAGUGCCACCAUGGCCCCUCUGUUGGAGUAGAGACCAGAGUCAGCUAAUGAAAGGUAUCUUGGCUUAGGUCCAACUCCCAGUCUCUGAACCUACUGGUGGUCAUUUCCCUCCAGUACAACCAGGAGUAGAUAUAUUCGGUCUUCAGCAGAAUCUGCCCAUUGUUUCCUUUGCGGAGAAUAAAGAAAUGUUGAAGUUUCUCCCCA